UCUCUACAGAAAAUAACUUGGGUAGACUGCCCCUUUUUAAACAGGAUCACUCUGCCUUUUAACUGAUGGUUGCUUGUCUACAACUGUAGACAAUUGUUAAUCCUGGUACCAUUAUUUUUAAAGAAAAAAUCCAUUUUAUUUUAAAUGAAAGUGAAAUGAAAAGCCUAAAGACAUUAUUUCAUUUUUCUUUGGAACUUUGUUACGUUAUAAUGAAAGCUAAAAUAUGCUCGGAGUUGUCAGGCUCAAAUAGGCUGAAUUAAAAUGAAACGCAAAAGAGAUUGCCAAUAGACAAUUUCUGUCUAACAAGCUGGCUAUGGUCCAUUUAGGGCACAGUAUGUUCGAUCGUCUCAUUUAUUACAGCCUGUCAUUUGGUGAGAAUGGAAACUUGGAUUUGCCUUUUGCUGCUUGUCAGUGCAGUUAUUGAAAAUCACCUUCAAUUUGCACCAGAUUGCGAGGUCCAAGACACUUUGUUCUGUCAGAUGUGGUGCCCACGCCCCGAUCCAUUUGAGAUGAUGCGAUGAAAAAUGGACUGAAUAAGGCAGUAUAUCGGAAAAAGGUAUUACAACACCCUCAUCAAAUAAGGACUGCUCUUUUUUCUUAUCUGAUUCCAGGUAUAGACACAGAAAAGUUUGCUCUCCAAAAGUGCUUUAUACUGAGUUCAAAAGGCUUUGAUAUUUUUUCUUAUACAGCCCGAAUGAUUUAUUUGUUCUGUCUGCACUACCCAUGAAAUAUCUAAUAUCAGCGAGAGUCACGCAUCUGUUUUGCGACUAAGGUCACGUUCCUCUUUUGUCUCGAUCCAUGUCAAAUCACAAUGCACGCUUUAGAAAUUGCCCAUAUGGAAAUAUAUCAUCGUGACCGCGACACGCUGAGAAUUCGUCUUUAGUCUUUAUUUUGUUUUCACAGCCUAUACGUGAGUGAAAAUGAUCAAAGCGAACCUAUUUCAUUUAGACACAUGAAAUAAGAAUGGAAAUAUCACUUCUUCAACCUGCUUUGCCAUGCCUUAGCAGUCUCCAGGGCUGGAUUUGUGUAGCUGACCCCCGCCCUGAGAAAAAAAGGAUAAAAAAGAAAGCAUAACAAGAAAUUUGACACAGUUUUGAUGCACAGUGUUUGUUUUCUUCAUCGCGGCUAUCAUAAGACCCUUGAGAGUUUCUCCAAAAAGUUUUGUCCUGAGCCUCCUACUUAAAUUUGUUAGUAUACUCCAGUGUCAGGAUAACCGAUUUGCCAACAAAGCAAAAGGAAGAAAAAGAAAAGCUCCGCUGCAGGCUCGAGCAAAGCUUCAAUCAACAUCCUGGGAGCUAGUUGACAUGCAGGGUGUAGAGGUCCUUGCAAAGUUAUUGAACUUUUCUCUCCAACCAUUUUCCCUUUUCACCAGCAGCCUUUUAUAUUACACGGCUAACUUCAUUCUUUCCUUACCUGCCCUUUCUCUUUUCAAUACACGGAGCUCAAGUUUGAAAGACCCACUGUCCUUAAAUUGGGUUUUGCUGGUGUGCAUGGCUAACGAACCCGAGCCGCUAUACAGUCGGAGCAACAUGACUGGGAUUCAGUUAUAUCCACCGCCGAAAGGCUGAAUGAUGAUAAGUUCAUUGCUGUGCCUCCUGUGUGCUCCAGAUAAACCCCCCUACUUGUCAGGGGCUCGUCACAGCAAAUACGACAUCGGCAACACGGGCAUAAGCUUGUUACGCUGGACAGGAAUAGCCCAUCCGCCGAGCCACUCCCAUUUCCCAGAGUAUUAUCAUUUACCAGCCUGAUUACGAAAGCUGCAGUUAACAUACUUGUUUUACACACUGGUUUUAUGCACCUGUGUGAAACUUAUUUCCCACUUUAAAAAGUUUAUACACUAUAAGCAGAAACUUGGCAGAUAGAAUUCUGCGGUUGCUGGAAAAGUAGAUGGCAAAUCCUUCCCUUUUUAAACUUCUAAUGCUGAAGUAUUUCAUUUAAACUACUAUUGGUGAUUGUAGCCUUCUAAAGUAUUGAUGCUGGUACUUGAAGUACCCCCAAUAUACUAGCAAUUCAUGAUUAUGCCUUUCUUUUGUACGCUAGGAGACAAAUUCAUGACAUUAACAAGAGCAUAGCAAGAGUGUGCAUUUGAUGUUUGUUUACUGUCGUGAAUAUGGCUUUAAGAUUGCGUAUCUUUUUUUUUUUAAUUUGUUGAAGUUCUCCAUACUGUCUACAAAUGGCUGGUAAUAUGUUGUCGACAUUGAAGUUACUGGCAUUGUCUAAGAUGCAAGUUGGAUUUUAUGAUCUCAAUACUGUAUUCCCUUUUAUUGUGAAAUAGCUGUCACUCAGCGAGUAUAAAGCAAUAGUCCUGUGGAAGUUUAUUUUUUUAUUAUUCUCAUCUUCCCUCAGCCAAGUCAGUGAAUAAUUCUGCUGAUGUUGUUUAUGCCCUGUUGGAUGUUAUAGCAGUCAAUGUGAAAGGGGCUGUUGUUCACUUGCUGCUUUUUUGCCAAUGUGUGCCUCCUGGCUUGUUUUCCUCACUUUCAUCAAUUCUGGCAGUGUGGAAAAAAAAA